ACUGUUUCAUAUUUCAUAUGAAUUUUGUCUCUUUAAGCCAGCACUGGUUGUUAUGCUUUUUUCGGUUGGCCUUAAAUUCUUAUGAUUAUCAUAAUCUGAUAUGAAAGUUUGAAUACUUAUACAUGUCUAUUAAAGUCUUUCUUGUUGACCAAGGAAGAGAUAUACACAGUAUCUUUCUUGUUUAUACCAUUGUUUUAAAUUACUUAUGGCUACUGAUUUGGUUGCUUCAGGAUUGGAUAAUUCCAGAUGUUGAAGUAGUUAUCAACUAUAGUUUUCCCCUCACCACUGAGGAUGAUGUCAACAGAAUAGGGCAGAGUGGACGGUCUGGCAAAAAAGAUGUCGCUCAUACGUUUUUCACUGUAGAACAAGGACUUGCCGGAGAGCUGGUGAAUGUUCUUAGAGAAGCUGGGCAAAUAUAUAGUGCCAGAUGCCCUAUUGAAGUUUGGCACUGAUGUAAAUAAAAAGGAGUCAAAGCUUUACGUGGCUCACUUUUAAGGAAAUUACUGCAGACGCUCAUUGGUUCUAGUUUACAAGUACCAAAAAGAAAAUAUGGAAUGUGAGUUCGGAAUUAGCAUAUACAAUUUAUUAUUAUUUUUUGUUUUGUAUUUCCUUUUGUUUUUGCAAACUUAUUUAAUAAUAUAUUUGAUUAUAGAUUCUACGAUGACCCAAAAUCUUGUGUUA